rnacentral:rRNA from 1 species
GAUGAACGCUAGCUACAGGCUUAACACAUGCAAGUCGAGGGGAAACGACAUCGAAAGCUUGCUUUUGAUGGGCGUCGACCGGCGCACGGGUGAGUAACGCGUAUCCAACCUGCCCGUCACUUGGGGAUAACCUUGCGAAAGUAAGACUAAUACCCGAUGAUAUCCCUAGAAGACAUCUGAAAGGGAUUAAAGAUUUAUCGGUGAUGGAUGGGGAUGCGUCUGAUUAGCUUGUUGGCGGGGUAACGGCCCACCAAGGCGACGAUCAGUAGGGGUUCUGAGAGGAAGGUCCCCCACAUUGGAACUGAGACACGGUCCAAACUCCUACGGGAGGCAGCAGUGAGGAAUAUUGGUCAAUGGGCGAGAGCCUGAACCAGCCAAGUAGCGUGCAGGAAGACGGCCCUAUGGGUUGUAAACUGCUUUUAUAGGGGAAUAAAGUGAGGGACGUGUCCCUUUUGUUAGGUACCACAUGAAUAAGGACUGGCUAAUUCCGUG